rnacentral:rRNA from 1 species
GAUCAUGGCUCAGAACGAACGCUGGCGGCAUGCCUAACACAUGCAAGUCGAACGAGACCUUCGGGUCUAGUGGCGCACGGGUGCGUAACGCGUGGGAAUCUGCCCUUGGUUCGGAAUAACAGUUAGAAAUGACUGCUAAUACCGGAUGAUGACGAAAGUCCAAAGAUUUAUCGCCGAGGGAUGAGCCCGCGUAGGAUUAGCUAGUUGGUGAGGUAAAGGCUCACCAAGGCGACGAUCCUUAGCUGGUCUGAGAGGAUGAUCAGCCACACUGGGACUGAGACACGGCCCAGACUCCUACGGGAGGCAGCAGUGGGGAAUAUUGGACAAUGGGCGAAAGCCUGAUCCAGCAAUGCCGCGUGAGUGAUGAAGGCCUUAGGGUCGUAAAGCUCUUUUACCAGGGAUGAUAAUGACAGUACCUGGAGAAUAAGCUCCGGCUAACUCCGUG